CCCUUAGAUGUUCUGGGCCGCACGCGCGCUACACUGAUCAGUGCAACAAGCAUCCGUCCUUGGCCGACAGGCCUGGGCAAUCUUUGAACAUCGAUCGUGAUCGGGAUAGAUUCUUGUAAUUUUUGAUCUUAAACGAGGAAUUCCUAGUAAACGCAAGUCAUCAGCUUGCAUUGAUUACGUCCCUGCCCUUUGUACACACCGCCCGUCGCACCUACCGAUUGAAUGGUCCGGUGAAAUCUCCGGACUGGCGUGAGUCGGAGCAAUCUGACAAACACCGGAAAGUUGAUUAAACCUUACCAUUUAGAGGAAGGUGAAGUCGUAACA
rnacentral:rRNA from 1 species